rnacentral:rRNA from 1 species
CUUGUAGUACUGGGACUCUAACCAUAGGCCAUGAAUCUGGUCUUGGGACACUGUCAGGUGGGCAGUUUGACUGGGGCGGUCGCCUCCCAAAAGGUAACGGAGGCGCUCAAAGGUUCUCUCAGUACGGUCGGAAAUCGUACGUAGAGUGUAAAGGCAAAAGAGAGCUUGAUUGCAAGACAUACAGGUCGAGCAAGGAUGAAAAUCGGACUUAGUGA